GUCUGAAUGGAGUCUGUCUGAAUGGAGUCUGUCUGAAUAGAGUCUGUCUGAAUAGAGUCUGUGUUAAUAGUGUCUGUCUGAAUAGUGUCUGUCUGAAUGGAGUCUGUCUGAAUGGAGUCUGUCUGAAUAGAGUCUGUCUGAACAGUGUCUGUCUGACAGACUCCAUUCAGACUGCCCAGAGAGAUCACUCCACAGCCCAGCCAGCGUAUGUAGUGAUUGGUUGAACGCCCAGCAAGAUCACUCACAGCCCUUUCUACCACUGUAUUGUCACUAGAAUGCAGCUCAUGCUAGGUGUUAACGUUAGGUGUUAACGUUAGGUGUUAUUGCCAGGUAGGUGUUAACGCUAGGUAGGUGUUAACGCUAGGUAGGUGUUAACGCCAGGUAGGUGUUAACGCUAGGUAGGUGUUAACGCUAGGUAGGUGUUAACGCUAGGUAGGUGUUAACGCCAGGUAGGUGUUAACGCUAGGUAGGUGUUAACGCUAGGUAGGUGUUAACGCUAGGUAGGUGUUAACGCCAGGUAGGUGUUAACGCUAGGUAGGUGUUAAUGCUAGGUAGGUGUUAACGCUAGGUGUUAACGUUAGGUAGGUGUUAACGUUAGGUGUUAACGCUAGGCGUUAACGCUAGGUAGGUGUUAACGCUAGGUGUUAACGCUAUGUGUGAGCUAAUCCUCACAUAGGUAAGAUAGAACAGAGAUGGGAGGAAGGAGGGACAGAAAGAAAGAGAGAAAAAGUGAUAGAGAAGAAGACAGAAAUAGAGAAAGUGACAGAUGUGGCUAGGGGGUGACGGUUGCAGCUCCCAGAGGGGGGUGGGUGAGAGAGAGAGAGAGAGAGAGAGAGAGAGAGAGAGAGAAAUACACUACGGAAGAAGAAGGAACAGCACGUCAGAAAUCAGCUCAAUGUAACUGAAGAAUCCAUAGAAUCGAACCACUUCUGGGAAAAUUGGAAAACACUAAACAAACAACAACAUGAAGAGUUAUUUAUCCAAAAUGGAGAUGUAUGGAUAAACCACUUCUUUCAUCUUGUUGGCUCUAUAACAAAGAACAAACAGCAAAAUCAGUAUACAUGACUAAAUACAAAUCUUAAAAUCAAUUAUUAAAGACUACCAGAACCUACUGGAUUCUCCAAUUACAUUGAAUGAUCUACAGGACAAAAUAUAAUCCCUCCAACCCAAAAAGGCCUGUGGUGUUGAUGGUAUCCUCAAUGAAAUGAUAAAAUAUACAGAUCACAAAUUCCAACUGGUUAUACUUAAACUCUUUAACAUCAUCCUCAGCUCUGGCAUCUUCCCCAACAUUUGGAACCAAGGACUGAUCACCCCAGUAGCUAACUAACAUUAGAUAACUAGUUAACAUACCGGUACUUAUAGUGUAGCUAACUAACGUUAGAUAACUAGCUAACAUACCGGUAUAACUAGCUAACAUACCGGUACAUAUAGUGUAGCUAACUAACGUUAGCUAACUAGCUAACAUACCGGUACAUAUAGUGUAGCUAACUAACGUUAGCUAACUAGCUAACAUACCGGUACAUAUUGCUGUAAUGCUAUGCGGUUCGUAAGGAUAGUGUAGCUAACAAAUUGUCAGCCAACAUAACGUGUAAGGUAACUUAUUUGAAAAGUCAUUACUUUUUAUUACAUUGCUCAUAAUUACUUAAAGCAAUGAAUUUGUGUCCACUCUCGUCAAACUUCGGCUGCAUAUUUUCUGCCAUUUCUUCAAAUCUGAAAACGUUGUGAAGCCACGCCCAUUUUCUGAAGAACUGCAUUAUGGGCCCUAAAAGCACAGAAAUAGUGUCCACUGCAUGUAUACUUCGUAUUUUGGCAAAUUUAGUAUGACAUCCAGGAACUUUUGGCUUACUAACUAUAUCCAUACAGUACUAUGACCAAUAAGCAUACUAUAUACUCAAUUCAGUUAGUAUGACUAUUCGAACACAGCUUUGGUCUUUUAUAAAGCCACCGGUGGUAUUCAUUAUUGUUCCGAAUAAUCUUUCAUUUUGGAAAAUGAAUUGGAGCCCUUCAUUGCUGAAGAUUUAGUGUCUCUUUUUCUCUUCUUCCCUACAUCUCCUCUCGCUUCUAACAUCUCUCUCUGUCUCUCUCACGCUCUCUCCCUCGCGCUCUCUCUCUCUGCUCUCUUUCCCUCUCUCUGCUCUCCCUCUCUCUCUUUCUCUCUCUCUGCUCUCUCAUUCUCUCACCUCUAUAUUUCGCUAUUAUCUAAAUUCAAUUCUAAGGGCUUUAUCUCUCUCUCUCUCUAUUAUCGCUCUGCUAUUUCUCUCUCCUCUUUCCUCUUCUCUCUACUUUCUCUCUCCUCUCUCUCU
rnacentral:lncRNA from 1 species